UACGUAGGGGGCAAGCGUUGUCCGGAUUUAUUGGGCGUAAAGAGCGUGUAGGCGGCCUGACAGGUCUGCUGUGAAAACUCGAGGCUCAACCUCGAGAUGUCGGCGGAAACCGUCUGGCUAGAGUCCGGAAGAGGAGAGUGGAAUUCCUGGUGUAGCGGUGAAAUGCGUAGAUAUCAGGAGGAACACCUGUGGCGAAAGCGGCUCACUGGACCACAACUGACGCUGAGGCGCGAAAGCGUGGGGAGCAAACAGG
rnacentral:rRNA from 1 species